GAUUUUGCAAAGAUAAAGACACGUUCUUUUUUGUCCUUAUUUGUUAGAGAAUGAAUCCGUGGCUGCAAGAUUCUAAAUAAGAAAAAAAGAAUACCACUUUGGAGCGCUUCUAGUAAUAGAACGUGACCCUCGCGUUAAAAGGGAAAUUAAGAGCAUAUAUAUUUUUUAUAUAUGAAUUAAGGUGGUACCGCGUGAUUAUAACGUCCUUAUA
rnacentral:ncRNA from 1 species